rnacentral:rRNA from 1 species
UACGUAGGGUGCGAGCGUUGUCCGGAAUUACUGGGCGUAAAGAGCUCGUAGGUGGUUUGUCGCGUUGUCCGUGAAAACUCACAACUCAAUUGUGGGCGUGCGGGCGAUACGGGCAGACUGGAGUACUGCAGGGGAGACUGGAAUUCCUGGUGUAGCGGUGGAAUGCGCAGAUAUCAGGAGGAACACCGGUGGCGAAGGCGGGUCUCUGGGCAGAAACUGACGCUGAGGAGCGAAAGCGUGGGGAGCGAACAGG